rnacentral:lncRNA from 1 species
GCAGACACUGAAGGAUGUUUCACACAACUUGUAAACACUAAAAUAUUUCAGCUGAGACAAAAAGAGUAUGACAUGACGAUACAUGUCAAAGCGAAGGUCAAAGAGGAGGGAACCGGAUUGGAAUUAACUGGGCAUGGAUCAUAUGAAAUCACAGAUACCUUAAGGAUACUGAGAUUUACUAAAGUAGAUUCACAUUACAGAAGUGGACUCCCCUGGUAUGGACAGGUUCUUCUAGUCAAUGAAAACCAUCAGCCAAUCACCAACAAAACUGUAGAUGUUCAUGUGAAUACUAGAUACUAUUUCAGUGCAACUACUGAUGAGCAUGGUUUGGUGAACAUUUCCAUGGACACCACCAACUACAUAUCACCUUUUCUCACAGUUUCAGUCAAAUACAAAGAGAGUAACAAUUGUUCUGAUAACUGGUGGCUUGAUGAAUUUCAUACGCAAACAUCUCAUACUGCAAAGCAUUUUUUUUCCCCAAGCAAGAGUUAUAUUCACCUCAAACCUAUUAUUGGUACUUUGACCUGUGGACAAACCCAGGAGAUUCAAGCACACUACAUUCUGAAUAAACAGAUUCUCAGGGAUGAAAAAGAAUUAACCUUCUACUAUUUGAUCAAAGCAAGAGGAAAAAUCUCCCAAUCAGGAAUCCAUGUGUUAUCCAUUGAACAAGGAAACAUGAAAGGGGUGUUUUCCUUCUCCUUUCGAGUGGAAUCAGACUCUGCUCCUAGUGCUCAUCUGCUUGUUUACACUGUUUUACCUAAUGGAGAAAUUGUUGCAGACACUGACAAGCUUGAGAUUGAAAACUGUUUUGCCAACAAGGUAAAUUUGAGAUUCUCCUCAGCUCAGAGCCUGCCAGCCUCAAACACCCGCCUGAAGGUGAGAGCCACCCCCCUCUCCCUUUGUGCCCUCCGUGCUGUAGACCAGAGUGUGCUGCUAAUGAAGCCUGAAGCUGAGCUCUCACCUAAAUCUGUGAGUCACGUUCCAACCUU